rnacentral:rRNA from 1 species
GACAGAGGUGCCAAGCGUUAGGCGGAAUCACUGGGCUUAAAGCGUGUGUAGGCGGGCGGGCAAGUACCUUGUGAAAUCCCACGGCUCAACCGUGGAACGGCUGGGUAUACUGCCCGUCUUGAGCCAGCUAGGGGCGACCGGAACAGACGGUGGAGCGGUGAAAUGCGUAGAUAUCGUCUGGAACGCCAAAGGUGAAAACAGGUCGCUGGGGCUGAGCUGACGCUGAGACACGAAAGCCAGGGGAGCGAACGGG